GAUGAAUGCUGCCUGUGUCUUCAGAGCACAGACAAAUGCUGAGGAAUAAAAUGAAGUUAGAUUGACUAAAUGAGAUGAUUGGAUCAUCUACUCAGGCAUAUAUGGCUGAGUAGCUGGAGGUUUUGGUGUCUGGAAGAUGUGAGAUCCAGCUGAUGCCUUUUUGCAGAUAGGAUGAUUCCAACCCUGCUGCUGUGUGGGCAUCUUUGCCUGUAUAGUAAGGCUGGAACAAAAGUUGCAACCUUUCUCUCUGUCGGUGCUGAGAUUCUCUCUUCUCAGCUUAACUACCUAAUAUCAUAAUGCUUGAUGAAAAUCACUGUCUUUGAGGAAAUUAUUGAUUCAGAAAUUACUGGAGAGAGAGAGAAGGAGAGAUAAGGAUCAUUUCUUUAGGAAGCCUUGGUAUAAAAAGUUAUAAGGCAGUGAAGAUCAGUGAUUAACUAUUUUUAGUGCAGUCUUAAAAAUGAAUUCUGAUUUUCUUCAUUCUUUUAUAAUAUAGGGAAAUUCAAAAUUAUUA